rnacentral:rRNA from 1 species
GACGAACGCUGGCGGCGUGCUUAACACAUGCAAGUCGAGCGGUAAGGCCCUUCCGGGGUACGACGAGCGGCGAACGGGUGAGUAACACGUGGGUGACCUGCCCUCAGCUCUGGGAUAAGCCUGGGAAACCGGGUCUAAUACUGGAUAUGACUCCAUGACGCAUGUUGUGGGGUGGAAAGCCUUGUGCGGCUGAGGAUGGGUCCGCGGCCUAUCAGCUUGUUGGUGGGGUGAGGCCUACCAAGGCGACGACGGGUAGCCGGCCUGAGAGGGCGACCGGCCACACUGGGACUGAGACACGGCCCAGACUCCUACGGGAGGCAGCAGUGGGGAAUCUUGCGCAAUGGGCGAAAGCCUGACGCAGCGACGCCGCGUGAGGGAUGACGGCC